rnacentral:rRNA from 1 species
UACGUAGGGGGCUAGCGUUGUCCGGAAUCAUUGGGCGUAAAGCGCGUGUAGGCGGUCCGAUCAGUCUGCUGUGAAAGUCGGGGGCUCAACCCUCGAAUGCCGGUGGAUACUGUUGGGCUUGAGUACGGAAGAGGCGAGUGGAAUUCCUGGUGUAGCGGUGAAAUGCGCAGAUAUCAGGAGGAACACCUAUGGCGAAGGCAGCUCGCUGGGACGGUACUGACGCUGAGACGCGAAAGCGUGGGGAGCGAACAGG